UACGGAGGAUGCAAGCGUUAUCCGGAAUCACUGGGUUUAAAGGGUGCGUAGGUGGGUAAAUAAGUCAGAGGUGAAAUCUGGUCGCUUAACGAUCAAACUGCCUUUGAAACUGUUUAUCUUGAAAUACAAUGAGGUCAGCAGAAUGUGACAUGUAGCGGUGAAAUGCAUAGAUAUGUCAUAGAAUACCAAUUGCGAAGGCA
rnacentral:rRNA from 1 species